GCCUGGCUAGCUCUGUCGGUAGAGCAUGAGACUCUUAAUGUCAGGGUUGUGGGUUCGAGCCCCACGUUGGGCA
rfam:Danio rerio chromosome 2, GRCz11 reference primary assembly.